rnacentral:rRNA from 1 species
UAGGGAAUCUUCGGCAAUGGGGGGAACCCUGACCGAGCAACGCCGCGUGAGUGAAGAAGGUUUUCGGAUCGUAAAGCUCUUUUGUUAAGGAAGAACGAGUGUGAGAAUGGAAAGUUCAUGCUGUGACGGUACUUAACCAGAAAGGGACGGCUAACUACGUGCCAGCAGCCGCGGUAAUACGUAGGUCCCGAGCGUUGUCCGGAUUUAUUGGGCGUAAAGCGAGCGCAGGCGGUUAGAAAAGUCUGAAGUGAAAGGCAGUUGCUCAACCAUUGUAGGCUUUGGAAACUGUUGAACUUGAGUGCAGAAGGGGAGAGUGGAAUUCCAUGUGUAGCGGUGAAAUGCGUAGAUAUAUGGAGGAACACCGGUGGCGAAAGCGGCUCUCUGGUCUGUAACUGACGCGGAGGCUCGAAAGCGUGGGGAGCAAACAGG